AGUCACAAGCACAGCUGAGCUAGAUCAGGUGGGAGGAAUCACUGCAAACUGCUAAAUGCUCUGAACCAGCCUGCUCAUGGGACUGCAUGGGCUCCUGACUCACAGUGUGUGCUGAGGCACUUGGAGCUGAAAGGUAGUGCAGGUCCUGCAGCUGCUUGGAGAGUCACAGUGUACACUCUGUGGGGAGCCUGAAGAAACCAGAUACAGGAGCAGAACCUAGCAGAAAAACUCAGCUGUCGAUAUGGUGAAAGAGGUAACAGAAGAGGGGCCAAGGCUAAUUCCAUCAUUGGAAUUCUUGCUGUAUUAUGUUGAUGGAUUUUUUUCCAGCCCUCUGACACAUGGCACAUUAAACACCCACAGUGAACUUGCCCCAUGUUAGCAUUUUAAUAUGGCCAUAGAAAAUCACAUGCAAUCUGCUCAGCUACAUGAACGCCUUUCUGCCACAAUUACUUCACAGUAGCAAGCUUGGGAUCUGAUGUAGGGUAAAUGACAAGGCAUCCCAAACUAACAUGAUGGAUGUGCUUGAAAUGGGAACUUUGCACUGAGUUUGUUCUACAAGACAAGCGAGGCUGAAAGCUUUGUGUCUGCAUCUGUGCUGUAUUUCCAACGUUAUCCUUCAGAAAGAUCAGGCUUUGAAGACAUAUUAUGACUUUUCAAGAUCUUGGUUUCUUUGUAGUAGGCUUUAACUAGACAUCGACAAAUUAAUCAUUCUGACUCCCAGGGGAAGGAAGAAGGCAAUUUCUUACUGCCUCUGAGAAUGGUGGAGAUUAUAGGCAGAACUGGAGGACAGUAUGAAGCGGGACACUAACAAAGGCCGAAACAAAAUACUAACUGCUUAAUUAGCUGCUUUCCCAGCUGGCAGAUCACAAAGUCUUGUGAUCAAAGUACACUUACUGUUUGGGUAGUAGUAACCAGAAUUUUGUAGAAAAUAUAAACUAUAUCUGUAACAAAAAAUGAGAUUAUCCAUUAACACGUAGAGAGUUUUAUCUUCCAUGUAGUAUUCAAAAAGCACAAACUCUAGAGAUAUAUAUUAUUUACAAUUAAAAAGAGAUUAUAGUAAAUUUUCAUUUUGUGUUUUUGGACAUUGCUGAUACAUUAUUAAGUGUAAUAUAAUAUUGUAUCUAAAGAAAAUAAAAGAUUAUAGUCACUC
rnacentral:lncRNA from 7 species